AACUGGAUAACUUUACUGGAAAACUUUGUACUUUUUUCUUUAUUGUGUUUGUCUAAUUGUGGCAGGCUCCCCUUCUGAAUCAAAUAAACAAGACAGAAGAAGAGAUUGCAAAUGCAACAAAGAGAAAAAUUGACUUAGAAGAUACCUUAGAACAGGUAAAUACAAUGGAAGCUGAACAAAACAGCAUUAUGAAAAUGUUAAGAGAAGAAACACAAAAACUGGAAGAUUUAUGUCAGUAAAAAGCAAAGGAAGUUGUCGAAGAAGAAGAAAAGAGUAAGAAGGAGCUGGAGUUGUUGGAGAAACAUAAAAGUUUGCUUUAUAAUGGUGUCAAUGAGGGUAUCAGUGAAGCCACGAAGGAACUGCAUGAAACCCGAUGCCGAUACCAAGUGGUUAUGCAAACAACUUCAGAAGAGAAAAGGAAAAUGGAUAAAAAUGUGCAGUAUCUUCUGGAACUAAUAUUUACUCAUCUUGAGACUGUUGAGGUAACUCAUGCUAUUAUAUACUACUGAAACUCUCAGUGUGUACCCUUUAAGUGGCUGAAAGUUGUAUCAGGGCAGGGUUUUUUUUUUCA